UACGUAGGGGUGCAAGCGUUAAUCGGGAUUACUGGGCGUAAAGCGUGCGCAGGCGGUUUUGUAAGUCUGUCGUGAAAUCCCCGGGCUCAACCUGGGAAUUGCGAUGGAGACUGCAAGGCUAGAAUCUGGCAGAGGGGGGUAGAAUUCCACGUGUAGCAGUGAAAUGCGUAGAGAUGUGGAGGAACACCGAUGGCGAAGGCAGCCCCUUGGUCG
rnacentral:rRNA from 1 species